rnacentral:rRNA from 1 species
UACGAAGGGUGCAAGCGUUACUCGGAAUUACUGGGCGUAAAGCGUGCGUAGGUGGUGAGUUAAGUCUGUCGUGAAAGCCCCGGGCUCAACCUGGGAAUGGCGAUGGAUACUGGCUCGCUAGAGUGCGGUAGAGGAGAGUGGAAUUCCCGGUGUAGCAGUGAAAUGCGUAGAGAUCGGGAGGAACAUCAGUGGCGAAGGCGGUCUGCUGGGCCGUUGCUGACGCUGAGGCGCGACAGCGUGGGGAGCAAACAGG